GAAAGCAAGCCAUCUAGAAAACUGUCUCUAUGGACAGGAGGAAUUGAAAAUCUUUGACAUUGAGGAGGGAAAGUCAGGCCCUGAAGAACACAGUGAGAUUUUCAUCUGAGAUUUUUAACUUCUUACAGUCAAGGUCUCUGAGAAGAGAGGUGUUUCAUCCUAUGUUAAAGCUCCCUGUAGCAGCAGCCCAGCUGCUGCGUCCGCCGGGAGGGGCUGCCAAGUGCCCUGCCUACUGGUUGCUUCCCGAGUCCUGCCAUUCCACACACAAACACAUCCACACGCGCUCUGCCUGGAUCACACACCGAGCCACUCGAACAUGCGAGCGCAUUCCUUCCUUCCUUCUCACUGUCUCGGACUUUGACUUCUACAAGCCCAUGGAACAUUUCUGGAACACGCUCUUGAUCCAGCAGGGUAUGAUUGUUUUGAUUUCUCUCUCUGUAGCUUGAGCCUUUUGAGAAAGCAACUCUUAC
rnacentral:lncRNA from 1 species